rnacentral:tRNA from 1 species
GGAGUUAUAGCUCAGUGGUAGAGUGAUUUCCUAGCAUGUAUGAGGCACUAGGUUCAAUCCUUAACACUG